ACACGGGAGAAGACAUAUCCAUCCAUCCUGCCAGACACCAACACCCGCCUUGGUGAACAUCAGAUUACCUAAAGCCAUGAGAGUGUCUUAUGUUCACUAUGUAGAAUCUACCGGCAGGUUUUGGAGACUUUCUACAAUCACAUAUGAGGCACAUAUAAACACGGGUGGGUCAUCUAAGAAUGUCACACAGGUCUGUUUUAGCAGGGUGACUGGCGAAGACCACCAACCCAGAAAACCAAGGUCAGAGUCAAGGUCAGAGUCAAGGUCACCUCCAUUUGGAAUCCAGGGAGAGGUGCAACAGGCUGUGCAGAGGGGGUGGAUUUUCCAUAAUCCACACUUCUGCCAUACUGCACAUUCAUCAUUCCCCCUCCCCUCCAAGCACGAGAACCAUCAGUAAAAUAUCCCUUUCUGCCAAAAAUUGAUACUCCACUGCAACCACUCAACCCCCACAGCCGAGGUGAUUACCCUGCCUGUGGAGGUUAGCGAAGCCCAGUCUGACACAAGCAGGACUUUCACACCAAACAUGACCUCAUAGCCUGUGGGGGGGGCAGAUACAUGUGAGUGCUCUGGGGCUUCAUGGCUACAAACAUUAACCUUGGCCCUGAGGUUUCCACAUGUGAGUUAAGCACAGAAAGCCAUUUAUACCCCAUACUGUGACCAUUAACAGCAAGUGGGAAACAUCCUUCAGCACCAGUAUCUGGAAUCCUCUGUACGAUUGAUGUAGCAGGUUUUCUGAAUGCUGUGUAUCAUUCACGUGUCUGAAUGAGAUGCCCGGUGUUCUAGAGAUGCCCUUCAGUGACUCUGACUUGCUGGUGAUGACAGUAACGUUUGCAUCAUCUUAGACUGUCCCUCAACCUAGAGGUCAGAGAGCACUGAGAAACUGCAGAGAGCCAUCAUUAAGUAGAGCUUCAUCCAGGCCGUGUGUGUGGACUUAACAAUGAUGCACUGAGGAAUGGACACAGAUGCAAUGCGAGAUGACACAUCCAGGGCACCUGGGAAAGCAACCGUAUAGGCGACAGUCCCAAACAAUACAGCUGGAUCCGGUUUAGAAUAAAAUCCCAGACGUUAUUGAAGAGCUCCCAAUAGAAAACAAGCUAUCUCCUUACGAAUGAGGGACAGUUUCACUCUGUAAAUAUUGACUACGUGCACUGAUACAGGUGAACCGUACCUUCUGUAUCAGUUGUGAGCCGACAGGAGGCAGAACAAUGGAGCAGGACUGCAGCACAGAGAUUUUACGUCUCCAUGGCAAUCGAUCACCGGCCACAUGCCAGCAGACAGCUCAAUUAAUGAAGCCCAGCUGGCCCUGAUUAGACUGAUAACAAAGAAACAAAGCCAGCUGGGCAUGAGCCAGGGAAAGGGUGGGGGCUGCGGGGCAUGAUCUCAGCUUCUGGCUCAGUUUUCCCCUGCACGCUAGGUUUUUGUGCCCCGUGUGCAAUGUGUUAGGUUGAGUUUAGUGUUUUGAGUGUAGCAUUCAACACCUCUUGUGUAUCAGACCUGACAGACUGACAGGAAAAUGUCAAGAGUGAAGGCGCACAACUUUGCAGCGUAACGUGUUUCUCGACAAAAAAAUACCUAUAAAAACUGAAGCAAAAUGGUCAUCACACAAAUUUGCGUAAUGCACACUAUACUGUGGCAUGGACUACACAAGGCCUGGGAAAUGGAUUUCAAGUUCAAAAAGGUGAUCCAGGAACUCAGGAUGAGCGGAGCACUCAUCUUAUGUUCUUCACUCCGUUUUGGAUAAUGAAUAUCACUUCAUUGCCAGGCUCAGUGAGUCCACACUCAGGUGCUUGAAAAUGCACACCCAUCACGAGUUUGCUGGAGCACCUGGACAUAAAGACGAGGGGUGAAGCUGGAACGCUGCUCAUGGAGAGAGCAGCUCUAGGGCAUGAAUGCAGCCUCCCAGCCUUCAAACAGAAUCUCUAAAAGGACUGAAUUCCACAAAUAUAACAGUUAAUAUGGCUUAAGGGGACCAGGGAGAUCUGUAAGAUGUGUCGACCUUUAAGGGUGCCCUAAGUAUUGUAGAAGCUGUUUGGAACAUAAAAGGCGAUCAAUGUAGUGAAUGGAGUUCUGUCGUGAUACAGCCGUAUUUCUUAGCUGCUGUAAAGAUUCCAGACUGCAGAGCCCUUUGAAAGUCUUCAGUGCAUUAGAGUGAUGCAGAUCAGUGCAUUAGUGCAAUGCAGAAGUGAGGCUACACGUGCAGCAGAGGACUGUACAAUGUUUUCUGUUUGCCCUGUGACAGUAACUCUGGGACUAAAAGCACUCCAUUCUUAGUUCAUUAGGAUCUUGGAAUAAACUACAAUAUUGCAAUAACUACACUUCAUAUCAGUGCUUCCUGCAAGAGGUUUGUUCUGGAGAAUGUCUGUAUUUUUACUACGCUCAAAAGGAGCUAGGUUUUCAGCUAUAGGGUUACAAAAAUCCAGAGCAAGAUGUGAGCUCUCAACCUCCCGGUACUGAAAGAUAUAUUAAUAAAACCUGUAAGCUGAAAUCAAACCACUACAGUUAUUUUCUUUUAAUGUUAAGUAAGUGAAAGAUCAGGAGACGCAGUGGACUAGCACAGAUAUCAUGCGUAAAGUGAGGCCUGCUAACUACUGAGUUACAGUUAUUGAAUGCAGACUUUCUUUUAAAGGUAUUUAAGGGUUUCAGUUUCCAUAUGUAUGCUGUAUCAUCUGACUUCAUGUCAACAGUGUAACUGCAGAAAUUAUCCCCAUGUUGACAUAUAAUGUUCCGAGGGCCACAGUACAGGCCACUGCAGGACUGCAGAGAGCUUUGAGGAGUCAUCACUUACAAGGACAAACUGACAGGAUCUACACACAGAACUAAACCUGGGAAAGUCCCAGCCCAACGUAAGCCACUGGAUUUGGUGACUUUGAAGGAGCGCACCAACAGCACUCAAGUAACAAUUUGUAGCAUUGUAAUAUUUCACUUCUACAGCAACAGUCUCUGAGCUAUGAAGAGGCCUAAAGCCAGAGUGGAGCAUUUCCCAGACUUUAUUUCUGUCCCGGAACCAGUCGCUUUCCAUUUGCAAGGAGAGCAACUUCAACAAUCUACAGCCCACCAAAAGACAGGGAACACGUUCAGAACAGACAGCCCACCAGAGGACAGGAAGCACUUCCAGGACAGACAACCCACCAGAGGACAGGGAACUCUUUCAGAACCUACAGCCCACUGAAAGAGACUGAACCCAAAUUCCACAGGUCUGUGAGCCUCAUUUUAGAAACCUCCUUCCCACAGAGGGAAAAAAAAACAUUCCCUGAAACGAUUAAGGAUGAGAGCCAGCAGCCAAAAAAAGAGCUGUCUCUUGCAGGGGGCAGGAUGGCUUGGGCGGCAUGGGCACGGCUGAGGCGAGUCGUGUGAAGACAAACAGCCCGGUCACCCUCCCAGUGCCCAACGUACAAACAACAAGCACUCCCCACGGCGGCCUGCCAGGCAUUCCAGACCUUGCUCGUUAGCGCAUAUUUUUACCCGUUGUUACUAAAUUAGGAAGCUUGAGAGGGAGGGGAUGGCGCCACCCAACCAGAAGGUGGGGGGUGAGCUUGGGGUCCAUUUCCAGAGGAACCAGAGGCAGCCAGACUCAGCAAUAGAAGCAAGAGAGGAAAAAGAUGAAGGAAGCCUGUAGACACCAGCCAAGACCAGAGAGACAAACAAACAAACAACAGGAAGUCACAGCCCCCGGAGGCUAUAAAAAGCUACCCUACAGACCCACAAAUAAGGUAACAUCAGGUGCUGGUGUGCCUGGACAAGCAAACUAUUUACCCUGUCAAGUCCAUGUAUGAUCGCAAUGGAGCAGGUUCGCAGUUAGCACCAGGGACGGAUGGGAUGGGUCCCCUUCAGAUUGACCUCGAUCCGCCCCCUCCACUUACAGGACAAAAAAACAGCAUCUGCCGUCGUUGCAUAAGGAAAAAAUAUCCUUGGACCCCCCCAAUUCAAAAAUCCUAUCUGCGCCACUGCCCAGGAGUAAGGAUGUGCAAAGCUGCAUGUUCCAAAACCUACUGAAUAAGAAUAAAGAAACAGAAUUACAACAUGCACGAAGCUUCACAGGGAAUCAUAUACUGUAUGUUGAUGUUUAAACUUACAU